CAGCUUUUGUUAGAAAGGGACUUCCACUUGUAUUACAAGUUACAAGCUUUUGAGAAAGGUGCCACAUACCUACACUACUUAUUUGUUGCAAAACACAGCAUAUCAAUUGUAAGGCCUAUUUUUUAAUCUCCUGAUGAAGUGUUACUAAUUAUAACAGUGUUUUAUUUCAAGAAAUGGUUUAUCAAUAAAAAUAAAUACUUUGAUAUUUUAUGUUUAAAUACACACUAUUUACAUAAUUAUUAUAUAAUUAUAAUAACUAUGUGGCAUCUAUAUUUGUGUUAAAUUAUUGCUUGUCAUUUGUUACUAUUACUAGUACAUAUAUGUUUAUUCUCAAGAUAUUAAUGUAUUUUGUUACUUUUUAAAUAUUUUUUACUUUAUAUCCAUGUUUUUAUGCAUUUUUCCUUUAAAAUGUACUUUCUGCUCAGUAUAUAGUACGGUAUAUAUUGACAUAUGUUUGCUCAGGCGCAGCAAUGUGAUUAUAUAUAGAACAACUUAUUAUAAUAAUUUUAGAUGAAGACGGAUGUGACUAGAUUUGUAAAUAUCAAAUAAAAAAGCCAAAUACAAA